rnacentral:snRNA from 1 species
GUGCUCACUUUGGCAACAUACAUACUAAAAUUGGAAGGAUUCAGACAUAAACAUGGCCCCUGCACAAGGAUGACAUGCAAAUUCAUGAAGCAUUCCAUAUUUUU